AAUAAAAAUUGACAAAAGGUCAUAACAGUCGAACACAAACAAUCUGCUUCUCUCCUCUAUAAAUCUUAGUGCAAGUCCGGUUGCAAGCUAUCUCUUAUAUGAGAAUGUACACACAAUUAAAAUGUAGGUGUUGAAACUGCAUGGUCCAAUCAUUCAUCUGUCUGAGGGUCUGCUAAAUCUUGGUCUUUGACAUAGUUCACAAAGGGUCCCCAAAUGUUCUCAAAGACCUGCUGUUUGCCUUUCAUGAUGUAGGUUAUUCUUUCUACUGGGAGAUUUGAGAGCAUCUGUUUCAACCACUGGCCAAUACUUGGUCUACUCAUUGAUUUCCACAUUAAUGCAAUACACUUCUUGGCAGUGAGCAAACUGAGGUCUAUAAAAGCUCUUUCAUGUUUUUUAUACCUGGAAUUUUUUGGAUAUAGUCCCAGGAGGAAAAAUUUUGGGUUUAUUGGAAUUUGCUUUGAAAUAAUUUUUUCAAUUGUCUUCGUCACCUCUUCCCAAAAUUGACUUAUUUUUCUACAUUGCCAGAUACAGUGGAAAAAAGAUCCCUUCGAAUCAGUGCAUUUUGUGCAGUUGUCUGGAAUGUUUUUGUUGUAUUUGUUUAAUUCAACUGGAGUGAUGUAGUUCCUCAUUAACCAUAGUGAAUUAAUUUAUAGCGUGAGUUUAUGGAUUUUGUGUGUGCUUCAGCACAAGCUUGACUCCAGUCCUCCUCAGAAAUUUCCAGUCGCAAGUUUUCUGACCAAGCCUUCGGCUUAUAAUAUGAGUUUUCAGAUGAUGAAGAUGUUACCCAAUUAUAAAUUUCCGAGAUGAGACCUUUUCUCUGACUGUUUUUUAGCAUAAUUUUUUCUAAUGAAGUUUGUUGGGGUUUUCUAUGUUCAUUAUUCUGACUAGUUCUAAUAAAGUUUCUAAUCUGGAGGUAUUUGAAAAAGUGAUUUUUGCUAAGGUUAUAAGUGGCAGUAAGCUGCUCAAAGGUCAUCAAAAUAUCUGAGUCUGGUGGGUAAAGAUUUUGAAUUGUUUUAAUGCCCUUACAGCUCCAUUGCUUGAAUCCUGAGUCGGCUCUUCCAGGAGGAAAGAGCUGAUUCCCCCAUAUGGGACUAAACUGAGUUAGUCUUUGUGUUUCUUUUAAAUACUUUUUAACAUCAAACCAGACCUUUAUCAUAUGUUUUAAAAUGGGAUUUUUGGUUUGUUUUCGUAAUCUUUUUGCUGUAUCUGAAUGAAUAUAUAAGGGUAGAGGCAAUUGCAGACCAUAAUUAUAAUUGACUCAUUUUGUACAUUUUCUCUGUUACAAAAACAGGUAUUCUUGCUUUUGUUUAUUAUUUCAACCAAACUUUUUUGCAUAAAAAAUAAAUGAACAAAACUCUGCACAUGAACCCACAGAACCAGAACAGAAACAGAACCAGACUCAGUAUUCAAACAGUAUAAAUGUCCUCAGAGCAGGUUGACAUUUAGAAAAAUCAGAUGGCUGAGCUUGGAUGGGCUGAUACCAUUUCUUCUUUCAGUGAAUAUCUGCCGUGUUUUUGAGAAGAUUCUCUCAGAUGGAAGAAGUUGUCUCUCCUCCAUCACCUUCACCAGGUGGGGCAGACUGAGGCCUUGUCCUGCUCCAGCUCAGUGGGUCAUCUGCUGGUUGGAUGAGGGGUUCCUCUAGAUAUGAUCCUCCAUUACCACAUCAGCUGUAGGAUUUCUCCUGAAUCAUCUCCUGUAGCUCUUCCAUCAAAGAGGCUCCACGCAGCAGAAGUUUGAGGUUCCUCCUCCACUUGGUCCUCUAAUGGUGGAGGUGUCAGACUGCUGCUGCUGCUAUUAUUCUCUGAAGUGUCUCAUCAACAGCUCUGUCGUCAUUGAAGGCAAGCUUCUUUAAUCUAGGAUCCAGUAACAUGUUUUCUGCUAGGACAGUGUUAAACUCCAUACUCCAUUAAAUACGUUAGGAGUCGGCUCUUCAGAUUCACUACAAAGCAUCGGCUCUGAGAGUUGUAUCUUUUGUGCCUUAUACAUCUCUAGAGGACAGACUGUGGUCACAUGCUGACCAUGUUUGGCUCAGCAAACAGCUGUAAGGCAGCUUUCUCAACUAUGAACAUAAUCAAAAUAUGUUUUGAGAACGGCUCAAACAAGCAGCAGCUCAGCUCUCCCAUUAAGCCGCAGAGAUAUUAGGGGAGUGAUAUGAGACAGACAAAAAUGUGAAAGUGUUCAAAUGUUUACAUUUAUGAGAUUUAUGUAUUGUUAAAGAUGUAUAGAAGUUAAUUCAGGUUGUUCAGUCAUGCUUUUUUAAGUUCUGCACUUUAUUUUAAGAUAUACAGUUAUAUAUAAGUUAUUUAUUAAUAAAUGUCAAAAUAUUUUUGAACCGUACUGAAUUUAUUUGACGGUCAGUUUUUGAUUACAGGCAGACUCUAAUAAAACUACCAGGUUACAUCAGCAUAUAUCACAGUAACUCAAGUUAGACAAUAUUAUGUUCUGGACCUUUGCUGACUGGACCUCUCUGAAUUUUAGCUGAAUACCCCUGGCUUUGAAGAAGAGGGACAUGAGUCUAACUGUCAGGGCCCUCUCCUCAUUCCCUCCCCACCUGGCAUCCCAAACAAAACCCCCUCCCUUAUACUUUUCCUCCCUGUCUUGCCUCGGCUGAAUCCCAAACCGCCCCCUACACACUCCCCCUCCACUACCGAGUGUCACUCCAAAAGAAGUCACACUCGCAGCUGUGGAGGGCACCUAUUAUUGAAGGGGGAGGGUAUAAAUACGAUCGUCAGGAAUGGGAUGCCCUGUCGCCUCACCGGAGAACGGAAGACGUCAUCGCCAUGGUAACACAAAGACGCCUACUGUCAUGGCUGUAGGGCUGUGGCACAGGUUGCAAUUAACAAGGAUCGCUGCAGCUUCCAGAAGACGAAAGCAUCCCACUUGUUUUUCACUCACAUUUUUUCCAAUCCUAUUAUCUGGCAUUUCAAAUCCAACAAAUGAAUGAAUAAAUGAAUUCUGUCAGUUGUGUUCAAAUUUUAAGGUGUCAGGGGGUGCACAGUUAAAUCAAACGUCAGCAGAGAAGAUUUGUUUCUUUUGAUUUAUCUUUUUACACCACUCUUUUUGUGAUGUUCUGUCAGUGUGAAAAAGGCGUGGGAGAAAUAAAGGACGCAUGUGGAACUCACAUCAAUAUGUUUGUUUCCUCCUCCAUUUCGACGUUGCACUUCCUGAAAAAGUUGUCCAGAGUGAGCAUCGAUGCAGACUCGUUAUUUAAGGGCUGAACAGUCCACUCCCCCUCCGCACUACGCGGUUUGGGACGGCCCUUAAUAUGGAGGACCCUCCGCGGGAACGCGCAAACGGAGGGGUAGGUGUGUAGGGAUAGUGUGUAGGGGGCGGUUUGGGAUUCAGCCCUCCUGUCUCACAUCCAUCCCUUUUCCUCUGCUUUCCAUCACAGCACGGCACCUGAGUGGAGUUCGGCUUCACAGCCGUCUCCACUCAGGUGAUCAACCUGCUCCACGAGUCCCGGGCAGCUGGAAGAAAUCAUCCUGAUUACUCACCAAGCAAUAAACCCAGCUGCCCGGGAACUUACCCACCCGAAACCCUCACCUGAACCCUCCAACCCAUUCGGCACCGGUCCCCUCCCCACUCGGAUCCCCCAUUCCGCCCGGACCCCCUCCUGGAACCCCCGACCCAUUUCCCUCCCGGCCGCUGGAGCUGCAGCAGCCAACCGGCUGCUCCCUGCCUCCCGGAGCCCCUCCCGGAACAUCACCGGCGAGACGCCGUCUCUGCCCGGCCCGUCCAACACCUCGGCCCCUCGGAUCGUCAGAAUGCUAGGUCUCGUUCCCUCCGAACCCCUCCUCCUCCAUCGAACUCUGAGCCCUUUGACGACUGGCCGCCAGGGAUCCCCCACAGCCAUCUGCGACGCUCCGGUCCCGCCCGGACCUUGGACAACCGCCGAUCCCCGUCCCCAGACCCACCCGGCCGCAUCCUCCCUCCACCAGCAUCCCUGUUCCUGCAUCCAGGUGUUGUGACAUUUUCACACUCCCCGGAAAAAUCUGACUUCCCCUUCGCGUGAACGCGCGCGACUUACGUUUCACUCUGUGGCCACUUGACUGUUUUUGUUGUUUUCGGGUUAAAUGUGACGAAGUCCCGAACUGCAGACAUGUUUUCCUGUUAAAUAUGAUUAGCUGACAUGUUUUUCGUCCUCUUCUCAUCCGUAUGUGCGCACCCACCCUAAAUGGCAUCGGGAGAGAUUCUGCGCUACUCUCAGCUUCACUCCUAUGAGGACAUCAGGACAGGACAGGGUGUAAUCGCCAAAUAUUGUUUAUAUUCCAUCAGUGUUCUACACGUGCCAAUAAAAUUGUUCACUGAGAAAACUUUAUAUCUCCUUAUUUAAAAUCGGACUCCCCUAAGAAUGCAAGGUAUGGCAUCAAAAUGUCUGGUAUUUAUGUAUAAAGUCUUUAAUAUAAGUAUAGUUCUUAAGUAUAAAGUCAUUUGUUAUUGUUGGUAUUUUUGUUGGGCCAGUUAACAAUAUAAUAGAAUUUAAAUUCUUUAAUCCCACACCUGGGAAACUAUUUGCUACAACAGCUAAAACACCAAAUCACAAGUUAUAAAAAAACAAACAAAAAAAAUAGUAAAUUAGUCUUUAAGGACAGAAUAAUAAAACAAGGGGCUAAAUGAUCACAAUAUGGCAGAUUAAGAACAGAGAGGCUAUUUUAAAACUAGGACUUUAACAGAAAUGUGCAGGUUGAGUUAAAUAUUUUCAUAUUUAUAUAUAGCUAUAUGUGCACUGUGCUUUCUGUGUGCUGCAAUCUUUCUCUUUUUCAAUGUCCUAUUGCUGCUGUACAAUAGUAAUUUCCCUGCUGUGGGAUUAAUAAAGGUUUAAUCUGUC